CUGAAUGGCCGCGGUAACUCUGACCGUGAUAAUGUAGCACAAUAAAUAGCCAAUUAAUUGUUGGCGGGUAUGAAUGGAACCACGAGGGUCUUACUGUCUCAAGAGGAAAGCCGAUGAAAUUAUAGUUGUAGUGAAGAUACUACAUAAACAUUGUAAGACGAAAAGACCCUAUCGAGCUUUACUGGAUACCGAUAGCGUUAACCUAAAAUGAUCGAUACUAAGUAUCCUAAUUUUGAGUUAAUAAUUUUUGUUGGUAGGACAGUUUAGUUGGGGCGACUACCUUUGAAUAAGAAACGAAGGCGAGCUUAUGGUAUACAAAGCUAAUCUCAUUAGCCUGACAGUGAGGGGGACACCCCUAGCUGGCACAAGGACUACGUCCUAUGUCGGGCGAUAAUGACCCGAUAUGAUAGUCCAAAAUAAAUAUCGAAAGCGGAUAAAAGCUACCGUAGGGAUAACAGCGUAAUAUUGUCGGAGAGUUCUUAUCGAGGACAGUGUUUGCGACCUCGAUGUUGAAUUGCGGUGCCCUGGUGCUGUAGAAGGU
rnacentral:rRNA from 1 species